GGGACAUGGACACGGACACGGACAUGAGCAUGGACACGGACACGGACACGAGCAUGGACAUGGACAUGGACACGGACAACUCUCUCCCACGUGCAGAAAAGGACGACGGUUUUCAACGUCACAUUAAUUAUUUCAGACACCUCCCAUAUAGCAUCGCCAGAUUAUCUGCAUGGCAUCAACGGACUAACACACAAAGCACCGGGUGAACCACAGUGGCCCUAACAUGUUAAGGCAAAAGAAUCACAUGAAAAACACAGCGCUCAAAGGUCGGACUUCACCCCCUGAGCCCCGGCAGCCUGCCUCACUUCGGAUUCUCCCCCCCUUUUUUACCCCGGCCGAGUUACCAUAGAA